rnacentral:rRNA from 1 species
GACGAACGCUGGCGGCGUGCUUAACACAUGCAAGUCGAACGGAAAGGCCCUGCUUUUGUGGGGUGCUCGAGUGGCGAACGGGUGAGUAACACGUGAGUAACCUGCCCUUGACUUUGGGAUAACUUCAGGAAACUGGGGCUAAUACCGGAUAGGAGCUCCUGCUGCAUGGUGGGGGUUGGAAAGUUUCGGCGGUUGGGGAUGGACUCGCGGCUUAUCAGCUGGUUGGUGGGGUAGUGGCUUACCAAGGCUUUGACGGGUAGCCGGCCUGAGAGGGUGACCGGCCACAUUGGGACUGCGAUACGGCCCAGACUCCUACGGGAGGCAGCAGUGGGGAAUAUUGCACAAUGGGCGGAAGCCUGAUGCAGCAACGCCGCGUGCGGGAUGCCGGCCUUCGGGUUGUAAACCGCUUUCGCCUGUGACGAAGCGUGAGUGACGGUAAUGGGUAAAGAAGCACCGGCUAACUACGUG